rnacentral:rRNA from 1 species
CGAUGGUUCAUUCAAAUUUCUGCCCUAUCAACUUUCGAUGGUAGAGUAGUGGUCUACCAUGGUUUCAACGGGUAACGGGGAAUUAGGGUUCUAUUCCGGAGAGGGAGCCUGAGAAACGGCUACACAUCCAAGGAAGGCAGCAGGCGCGCAAAUUGCCCAAUCCCGACACGGGGAGGUAGUGACAAUAAAUACUGAUACAGGGCUCUUUUGGGUCUUGUAAUUGGAAUGAGUACAAUUUACAAUCCCUUAACGAGGAACAAUUGGAGGGCAAGUCUGGUGCCAGCAGCCGCGGUAAUUCCAGCUCCAAUAGCGUAUAUUAAAGUUGUUGCAGUUAAAAAGCUCGUAGUUGAACCUUGGGCCUGGCUGGCCGGUCCGCCUCACCGCGUGCACUGGUCCGGCCGGGCCUUUCCUUCUGGGGAGCCGCAUGCCCUUCACUGGGUGUGUCGGGGAACCAGGACUUUUACUUUGAAAAAAUUAGAGUGUUCAAAGCAGGCCUAUGCUCGAAUACCAUUAGCAUGG